rnacentral:rRNA from 1 species
AUUGAACGCUGGCGGCAUGCCUAACACAUGCAAGUCGAACGGAGGUAGGGGCAACUCUACUUCAGUGGCGGACGGGUGAGGAAUGCGUCGGAAUCUACCCUAUGGUGGGGGAUAACACAGGGAAACCUGUGCUAAUACCGCAUAAUGUCGAGAGACCAAAGCAGGGGACCGCAAGGCCUUGCGCGAUAGGAUGAGCCGACGCCCGAUUAGCUAGUUGGUAGGGUAAAGGCCUACCAAGGCGACGAUCGGUAGCUGGUCUGAGAGGAUGAUCAGCCACACUGGGACUGAGACACGGCCCAGACUCCUACGGGAGGCAGCAGUGGGGAAUAUUGGACAAUGGGCGCAAGCCUGAUCCAGCAAUGCCGCGUGUGUGAAGAAGGCCUGCGGGUUGUAAAGCACUUUUGUUCGGGAAGAAAUCAUGCUGGUUAAUACCUGGUAUGGAUGACGGUACCGAAAGAAUAAGCACCGGCUAACUUCGUGCCAGCAGCCG